rnacentral:rRNA from 1 species
GCCUGUGACCAAAUCACCCAGAAUGCAACUGAUACCGUCAGGUCUCGGAAGCUAAGCAGGUUCGAGCAUGGACAGUGCUUGGAUGGGCCAACAUCUAUGAAAUAACUGUUGUGGGCC